rnacentral:rRNA from 1 species
UACGGGGGGAGCAAGCGUUGUUCGGAUUUACUGGGCGUAAAGGGCGCGUAGGCGGCCAGCACAAGUCAGUUGUGAAAUCUCCGAGCUUAACUCGGAAAGGUCAACUGAUACUGUGCGGCUAGAGUGCGGAAGGGGCAACUGGAAUUCUUGGUGUAGCGGUGAAAUGCGCAGAUAUCGGGAGGAACACCCGUAGCGAAGGCGGCACUCUGGGCCGUGACUGACGCUGAGGAGCGAAAGCGUGGGGAGCAAACAGG